UACAGAGGGGGCAAGCGUUGUUCGGAAUUACUGGGCGUAAAGGGCGCGUAGGCGGCCUGUUAAGUCGAACGUGAAAUCCCCGGGCUCAACCCGGGAACUGCGUCCGAUACUGGCAGGCUUGAAUCCGGGAGAGGGAUGUGGAAUUCCAGGUGUAGCGGUGAAAUGCGUAGAUAUCUGGAGGAACACCGGUGGCGAAGGCGGCAUCCUGGACCGGUAUUGACGCUGAGGCGCGAAGGUCAGGGGAGCAAACGGG
rnacentral:rRNA from 1 species